GUUUUAAUAGUUUAAUAAAAACAUUAGUCUUGUAAACUAAAAAUAAAAAAUUUUUUUUUAAAACU
rnacentral:tRNA from 1 species